GAAUCCGGCGAUGUGCCAGAUGAGCCACCUGAAGAUGCCCCAUAUCUCGCCGGCCUCCACGGACUGUGGUGGCAUGGCGAGCUGUGCCCCAAGUACCGCCAACUGCCUCGCAUCCGGAUUUGGUGGCGAGAAGUCCAUGCUAACCUCGUUACCUCGGACUCCACGGAGGCUACAGUUGAUCAAUCGGUCCACGGUGUUGGCAGCUCCGGCGUAGCGGGGGUACCUGAUCGAACUACAUCCGUGGGCUGGAAACGAAGGUGAGUCCACAUGCAGUACAGAUAAUUAUCCUCUAUCCAGAUUAUCUACAGGAAUAGGAAUUGAUGUGGCUUUCUACUCUUGCUGCAUGGCUCUGCGUAGAUUACAGGAAAAUUAGUUUCGGUUCACCACCCAUUCGUCCAUCACAGGCAGUGUUCACUAGAAGCCUGCUUUCGAGUCUGUGCCGAACCUCCCAAAAUUAACUGCACUAACUUAUGUACAAUUUUGAAAACAGGAGGAUCCAUCUAUGGAACUUUGCUUGUCGAGGCAAGCAGCGGCCAAUGGCGCCGGUUCUCUUGCCCGGGGCUUCCUUCAGCCGUAUGUCAGCCCAUCAAGUCUGGAUUUGAACCAGGGCCAGGAUACGGUCAAAUUCUGGUGCUCCCAAAAAUAGAGUUGCUAGGAAGCUCGACUUGAACGAGGGUCUUGAUGAUGGUUGCCAAUGAUGUUGACACAACACUGAACCUUGGGGCUACGCCAUUUCUGGACAGCCACUUGCCUGCCAAGAAGAGAGCCAUGUUCCAAACAAGUUUGUCCAGCUGGAUGUCAGGGGAGGUAGCUGGUCCAUCCACAUUGCAUCAAAGGACGGUGGCGUCGACCUCAAGAUUGCUCUUUCCUAUGACGGAGUUGUUCCCGUCAGGAGGAUCUAUUAAACCCCUAUGUUUCGGGACCCUCGAAGGAUGAUGCAGUGUACAAGAAGGUUAUGGAAGCAACCGUACAUGAGCUUGAUAGGUGCACACUGUAAAAUUCUAUGUUGGGUCCAUCAAGGACGAAUAUACGUGGCGUUGUGAACUGAUCAUGCUUAUCAGUUCAUAAUGCAGCUGAUUUGAGCACAACACCCCGAUCAAGAUAUGUGUUGCAGGGCUGGCGAUUCACAAGGACUUUGACAAUUACCUGGCCAAAGUAGGAUUGGACAUCGUGUCUAGGUACCUAACGUCUCCGAUAGCGAUCAAGGCAGGGGUUUCCUUCCAGCCAUCUACGGGGAGGUGCUUACUCGGUGCUGGAUGGACGAUGCAGAUUACUUUUAGCCGGGAUUAUAUGAAGUUGGCUGGGGUGAGGAUGUUGUUCGGGCAGUACUGAGGUGCUGGGAGUGGCAUGCUGGCGUUGGCAUUUGUGCACCUAACUAGGGCAUGGAACUUAUAUGGCUUCGACACACUGAAGCGCACGGUAUACGUCCUUGAUCCCACUAAGGGGCCUCUGACCGACCUCUCCGAGCUGCGCCACAAGCAUGGCAAAACCAUAGGGACACUUCUGGAUGCAUUCAUCACUUGUGGGUCAAGUUUCUGUGCAUUUGGCAAGUUACCUUCAGUUCACACUGGCGAUACAAAUUUCACGGUACAUACAACAAUCAGAGCACGGACACAGCUAUCCAGGUACUGCACCACGCUAUAACAUUUGUUCCAGCCUGACACCUUUGAAUCUGAGUGAGGAACAAUGCUUCCGUCUGAAGAAGAAGCUCCUACGUGAUGUCCUUCACAUGCCAGAGAACAUUGGUGACCUUCCGUCUCGUAUGCAGUGAACUGGAUCACGCGGUGUUUGUAACAGCAGUCACGUGCGCUCAUGGAUUACGAGUCGAGAGACUAGUCUAGACUAGUCGAGCGACUUCUAGAAGUCGCAACUUCACUUUCGACUCAUGUCUUCGAGUUGACUCAAACCAUGAGUCGACCGAGUCGAGCGACUAGUCCUGGACUAGUAUAGACUAGUCCUAAUGUGUGAGUCGAUCGUCUCAAAUUUUCCUGAAAUUCUUUUGCUGGACUGCUUUAUUUUCGAAUUUCAGACCACUUAUGUUGGUCUGGUGCUGUUUGCUGUGGACCUAUCUUGAACUUAUAUAUUUACUGUCUUCAUA